rnacentral:lncRNA from 1 species
UUUGAGGGUGUAGGUAAGCUUCUUGGGAACAUCUUGAAUGCUGAAGACUUGGCCGAAAUCUUUGUAGUCUUGGCUUGAAAAGAGCUGUUGGGAAUUGAUGGGAAAUAAUUCCAAAAAUAGCUCCAAAGAUGGCAAGUCUGGUCUUGCUUGAAUCCGUGUGUUCUGGUGAGUGCUGGUGCAUCUUAAGACUCUUAGACAAGUAAGGAAUUCUUCCAAAACGCUGUAGCUUUGAUGGCUUGGUUCUUGGGUUUCAUAAGGUCAGAAGACUUACCUUGGUUUGAUGUGUUCUCCUCUUUGGGUUCUAGAGUCUCUUUGAGCCUUUGACACAUCUCUUGUAACUUUGGCAGUUCAGGUAAGGGUGUAGUGAUUGGUUGUGGCUGGACCUUGUUUAAUUGAGCCGACCUCUUAAACCCUGCUUGGUGUGUAAGUACACUAGAUGAU